rnacentral:rRNA from 1 species
AGCGAACGCUGGCGGCAGGCCUAACACAUGCAAGUCGAACGAACUCUUCGGAGUUAGUGGCGGACGGGUGAGUAACACGUGGGAACGUGCCUUUUGGUUCGGAAUAACUCAGGGAAACUUGUGCUAAUACCGAAUGUGCCCUUCGGGGGAAAGAUUUAUCGCCAUUAGAGCGGCCCGCGUCUGACUAGCUAGUUGGUGAGGUAACGGCUCACCAAGGCGACGAUCAGUAGCUGGUCUGAGAGGAUGACCAGCCACACUGGGACUGAGACACGGCCCAGACUCCUACGGGAGGCAGCAGUGGGGAAUCUUGCGCAAUGGGCGAAAGCCUGACGCAGCCAUGCCGCGUGAAUGAUGAAGGUCUUAGGAUUGUAAAAUUCUUUCACCGGGGACGAUAAUGACGGUACCCGGAGAAGAAGCCCCGGCUAACUUCGUG